UGCUGAAAAUGGUCCUCAGACAUUUUAGCCUAUAUUGACGUGACAGCAUCACAAAGCUGCUGUAAAUGUGUUGGCUGAACACCCAUAAUGUGAAUCUUCCCUUCCAUCACAUCCCAUAAGUGCUCGACUGGAUUGAAAUCUAGUAAAUGUGGAGGCCAUUUGAAUACAGUGAACUCAUGAUCUGAGCUUUGUGAUGUGGUGUGUUCUUAGCCGUCCUUUGUGACAGGAAAGGAACAUCAGAGAAACCAAAGGUUGUCACAUACAAAUUUACAUUCUGGAAACAGCUUUCUUCUCUCUCCGGGAAUUCGGGGAGCAGCUGGUGAGCUGAAAUUGUUUUUUUGCUGAAACUCAGGAGGCUGACUGCUGAGAGCCUAAAUCCAGAGCUGAGGAAAUCAGCGGCAUGUGCGCUAUCAUUAACGCCGUCGCUGCACAACAACCCGGUGAGGCGCAAAGGGAAUUUUACACUGCUUGGCUGGUGGUAGUUGUGCCUGCAUGAUUUUUUUUUCUUUUUCUUUGCAGGAGUGAGAUGAGGCUGUAUACGAUUUCAGGGUAGAGAGGAACGGCAACAAGAGGCCCUGCGUGGCUGAGAUUCCCGAGAUUCCCUGCAGCAGAUAUAGUCUGACAGAGGCCGCCGAUAGUAGACAUGCUUCACUGGGGCGCACAGGAACAUUCAACCAUGUAGGCUCCUAAGAGUUCCAACAACUGAAUCACUGUCUAUCAUGUUGAAUUGCCUUUUUCAAGUAUCCCCAAGUGUUAUUUACUUUUAUUUGUAAAAUGGUAAGGGUUAAAAUACCAGGGCUGUUUGCAUUUUAUGGAGUGUGUGGAUUUUUAGCCCUCUUUCUAAGCUGUUAUCAUACUAAAAGCCAUGAGUCAAAUAGGUCUUCAGUCAGAUAUUUGACUAACACAUGUUUUUCAAACAUUUGUCUCUUCUUGCUGUUGUCUUGGAGGUGGAUUAAUGAAGCUGGGAUACUCCCAGGUUUCACAAUGCCUGGCUAGAUAAUGGAUAUGAGUGCCUAUUAGCAGAAGAAGAAAACACAUUGUUAACAUCCAGCUGCGGCCAAUUUUUAUGAGUCAUCAAACUCUUUGGAAGACUCAGGAGCUCAACACAAACACAGGCAGUUGAUUAAUUGUUCGAGUAGUUGCACAUACUCAUAAUGUACACUCCAUAUGUUGGCCUGAAUCUGCCUGUGACAAGCUGACAGACUGACUGCACUUAGACGUUUUGGGCUACUGUAAGGUUGGUGGUUGGAGAAGAGUGGAAUACAUUUUUCACAAGGAAAGUGAACUGUGUUAGGCUCCUCUGGAAUUGCAUAUGAAUGUAUGAAGAUGGUAGAAAAUGAUUAGCUGCUUAAAUGCAGUAUUUUAAAGACACGUUUUUAUGUUCUGGCUUUUAGGACAUGUUGACCUAAACAUUUUGGUUUUAACAGCCUUAGCUGAGUUGUUUUAGUUGUUUUUAUUGACUUUUUUUUUUCCUUCUAUAUUUUUCUGCAUCAUUGUUGUGCAUUUUAUUUAUGUUAGUGGGAUUUUACAUUGUUAAUCACUUUGUGCAGCAUGGACUGUUGGAAAUGUGCUAUCUAAAUAAACUUGACCUUGACCAAACUUGACCUUAAUGCACAAUAAUCUCAUUUUUCAUUGCUAAUUGCACCUUUUUUAUUUAAUCUUCAUGACAGAUGCCAAGGAGUGACACAUUAAAAGAACAGUCUUGAUAAAUUAGUAAUGUACUGCAUGGUACAGUUAAUUAGCUACUAUUUUAUCAUUGUCUGUGGGAUAAAGGCAGGUUGACUGCGAUUAAGACUGUGUCAACCAAAUAUCCACGCUGCUUUGAAGAAAGGCUCAUUGCUGCAGAAUUAUUUAAGACUGCUCAGCUGGCUCAUGCAUUUGCAUCCAAAGGAGGACACAUUGAGCACUUGUGAACACUGUAAGUUUUAUAUUUAGGACUUUAUAUAUGUAUUUUAACAUUUACUGCAAGCUUUUAUGUAAAAAAAAAUACAAACAUAGCCUUUUUGAAAUCAGAUGAUUCUCUUUGAUGAACCCUGUACUUAUACUGUAAAGCAUGGCUGCAUGCAGAACUCUGCAAUGUGUACUCAUGACGGUGAAAAUGAUGGACGGUACAGUGUUUGCUAUCUUGGCCAUAUAAGGGAAAGGGAGCAUCCACCGAACAGUAGCUACCAAGUUAGUAGCAAAUUAUUACAGACAU
ensembl:lncRNA